GUGCUUCCUUCAGCAGCACAUGCACUAAAAUUGGAACAAUACAGAGAAGAUAAGCAUGGCCCCUGCACAAGGAUGACAUGCAAAUUUGUGAAGCAUUCCUUAUUUUU